CGCGAUGCUACCGCAGGGCGGCUGACGUCAUCGGCAGGCCCUGGAGACGCGGCUGCAGUUACCGGGUCUCUGGGGCCGCAUCCCCUGACAGGAAGGCGGCGUUGGAGGGUGGCUGGGUUUACCCUAUGGGCCAAAUUGCUUCAGUUACCGAAGAUAAAUACAACUUGGCAAUGAUUGUUUAUAGUGCCCUGAAAAAGAAUGGCUGUAUAUUGCAGAGACAAAAGUAGCAUUGCCUCUUUUCUCACCUAACUUCAAGGAAGUGCAUUACAGGAAGGCAAUGAACAAAGGCUCAACAGUUCAUAGUUAAGGUCAGGUGCCACGCGUGGCUCAUGUCUGCAAUCUCAGCACUUUCAGAAGUGGAAGUAGGAGGAUCUGUUGGGGCCAAGAGAUCAAGACCAGCCCUGGCCACAUAGACCCUGUCUCUACAAAAAUAAAAUUUAAAAAUUAGCCAGUUGUGGUGGUGCAUGCCUACAAUCCCACCUACUUGGAAGACUGAGGUGGAAGAAUCACUUGAGCCCAGGAGUUCAAGGUUACAGUGAACUAUGAUUUCACCACUGCACUCCAGCAUGGGUGACAGACAAAGACCUUGUCCCCAAAAACACCUACCAACACACACAUAUUUGGAAGUUUAAAAAAUUCUAUGCUCUUGAAUAAUUUGUGUGACAAUUUUUUUUUUUAAACAGGGCUUCACCAUGUUUCUCAGGCUGGUCUGAAACUCCUGAGCUCAAUUGACCCUCCUGCCUUGGCCUCCCAAAGUGCUGGGAUUACAGGCAUGAGCAGUGGCACCUGGCCCAAAAUUCAUAAAUUAGCAAAAGUAGGGAGAAUAAUGAACACUUGUUUUCCACCUUAUCAACAUGGAUCAAUCUUGUUUCAUCUAUACCCCACUCUCAUCCAGAUUAUUUUUGAGGCAAACUGUAACUAUGGUUAUACUAUAACCAUCCAUAUCUUAUUAUAUACUUUAGAAGAUGAAGCUCUUAAAAUACAAACAAAUGAAAUCUAACUGGCAUACUAUGGUGGCCGAAUUAUAAGAUGGCCUCCAAGAUUCCUGGCUCCUGGUACACACGUACCUUCUCGCAGUUAAUCAAACAUGAAUUUGUGUGCUGCUACAAGGGAUUUUGGUAAUUAAGCUCCCAAAUCAGUUUUUUUUUACACUAAGGAUAUUAUCCUCCAUGGACCUGACCCAAUCAGAUGAGUCCUUAAGUAGGAUAGGGCUUUUCCUGGCAAGGGAUAUUAACUAUGUGAGAAGCAAUGGAUAGGAGGAAGGUUCCCCAGGCUGGAAGGGGACACUUAGCAAGGACCUAAGAGUGGCCUCUUGGAGCUGACAGUAACCCCAGCCAACAGCAAGAAAAGGGGUAUCUCAGUCCUACAACCAGAAGUAACUGUAUUUUGCCAAAUACCUGAAUGAGCUUGGAAGGAGGUCCUGAGCUCUGAUGAGAACCCAGCUGUCUGCUACCUUCAUUGCAGCCUUGUGAGACUUUUUUUUUUCAGUCUCACUCCAUUGCUUAGGCUGGAGUGCAGUGGUGCAAUCUCAGCUUACUGCAACCUCUGCCUCUUGGAUUCAAGCAAUCCUCCCACCUCAGCCUCCCUAGUAGCUAGGAUUACAGGUGUGCACCACCACACCCAGCUAAUUUUUGUAUUUUUAGUAAAAAUGGAGUUUUGCCAUGUUGUGCAGGCUGGUCUCAAACUCCUGGCCUCAAGUGAUCCACCUGCCUUGGCCUCCCAGAGUGCUAGGAUUAUAGGCAUGAGCCACUGCACCCGGCCUAUUUUUUUGAAACAGGCUCUCUCUGUUGCCCAGGCUGGAAUGCAGUGGCAAAAUCAUAGCUCACUGCAGCCUUGACCUCCUGGGCUCAAGCGAUCCUCCUAUUUCAGCCUUCCAAGUAGCUGUGACUACAGGUGUGUAGCACCAUGCCUGGCUAAUUAUUCUUUGUAGAGGCAAGGUCUCACUAUAUUGCCCAGGCUAGUCUUAAAUUCCUGGCCUCAAAUGAGCCUCCCACCUCGGCCUCCCAAAGUGCUGGGGUUACAGGCCUGAGCCACUAUCCUGGCCCUUUGUGAGAUUUCUGGGCUAGAGAACCCAGCCUCUGUAUGCCUGACCUUCUGACUUAUAGGACUUCAAGAUGUGUAAUGUCUAUUGUUUGAAACUGUUAAAUUUGUGGUAAUUUGUUAUACAGCAAUAGAAGACUAAUAUACACACUGAAAAGUUGGUAACAAUUCCUCUCAGUGACCAAGUUUUUGUGGGAAAGUUUUUAACUACAAAUUCAAUUUUUUAAGGAGUUUUGCUUCCAGUAUGGUAGUGUAAACACUUUAGAUGAACUCUCCCACUGAUUAAAAGAGCAAUAACAGAGCUGGGUGCAGUGGCUCCUGCCUGUAAUUCCAGCACUUUGGGAGGCCAAGGCAGGCAAAUCACUUGAGGUUAGGAGUUGAAGACUAGCCUGCAAAACAUGGCAAAACCCCAUCUGUACUAAAAAGACAAAAAUUAGCUGAGUGUGUUGGUGCACACCUGUAAUCCUAAGGGAGGUUGAGGUGGGAGGAUCGCUUGAAUCCAAGAGCCAAAAGUUGCAGUGAGCUGAGAUUGUGCCAUCACACUCCAGCCUGGACAACAGAGUGAGACUCUUCCUCAAGAAAGAGAGAGAGAGAAGGAGAAGUGGGGAGGACAGGGAAGGAAGGAAGGAAAAAAAAACAACUACUGGGAGAUUCUGAAGAGUCAUAGAAACCAGGCUGAUGGUAAAGGGGAGUAAAAAUCUUGGACAAGCACCUGGCAUGAGGAUGAGUCUCUUGAGCAAUGUGAGAACCUUGGACCCCUGACUCCAUUGAGACUUUCUGCCUUCCUUAUUAGGGUAGAGGGUUUUAGUUCUGAGUCUGCGGGCAUAUUAUGCUUCCCUGUAGACAUCCCUGUACUCAUCCUACUACAGACCAUCCCAAAGAGUGUGUGGUGGUUCAUCUUUUCCAAAAGUGGCUGUGACAUCUCCCAUUCCAUAUGACCUUUUUUACGUAGUGGCAAAAUACACAUAACGUAAAAUGUAUCAUUUUAACCAUUUAAAAAUGUAUACCUCAGUGGCAUUAGGCACAUUCACGUUGUUGUAUGUGCCAUCACUGCCAUCUGUCUCCAGAACUUUUUCAUCUUCCCAAACUGACACUCCAUACUCACUGAGCACUAACUCUCCUCCUCUCCUCCCGCCCAGCUCCUGGCACCCAUCAUUCUACUUUUGUCUCCAUGAAUUUGAGUACUCUAGCCACCUCAUUUGAGUAGAAUGGCUGGCUUAUGUCACUUAGCAUAAUGUCUUCAAGGUUCCCAUAUGAAAUUCUAAGAAUGGGCUGGAGACUCCUCUUCAUAGGUCUAUGUUUCUCUACCUUGAAUCUGCGUGGAAUUGUAACUAUGGUGUUAGUGACGUCAUGCCACCUCCAAAACUAAGCCAUAAAAGGCAAUGCAAUUUCCUUCUGGUUCUCUUGAAAUGCUCACUUUUGGAAUCUAGCCACCAAACUGUGAAGAUUCCAGCUCUUCAUGGAGAGGACCAUCGAGAGAGAAACUGGAGCUUCCCACUCACACCCACAACCACAGCUGAGCUCCCAUAUGACAAGCAGCACCACCUUGCCAGCCCUGGGAUUGAGCCAUCUUGAAAGUGCCAAGACAAUGAAGCAAAGAUGCCAACAAGCAGUGGAAUAUAGCAAUAAGGAACACAUAACAAGUGAUAUUCAGUAAUAUGGGCAGGUAGAAAAUUACCAUUAACCAGAUCAUGAGGUCAGGAGUUUGAGACCAGCCUGGCCAACAUGGUGAAACCCCAUCUCUACUAAAGAUACAAAAAAUUAGCUGGGCCUGGUGGCAGGCGCAUGUAACCCAAGCUACUCGGGAGGCUGAGGCAGGAGAAAGCAGAGGUUGCAAUGAGCCAAGAUUGUGCCAUUGCAUUCCAGCCUGGGUGACAGGGAGACUCCAUCUCAAAAAAAAAAGAAGAAGAAAAGAAAGAAAAUUAUUAUCAACCCAACCAAGAAAAAUUUGGGCUCAGAGCAAGGUGCCAAUUUCUUGGGCGACAUCCUGAGGUACCUAGAGGAUUACUGGAAGUGCUCAAAUGCUAUCUUCCUUCUGUUCUUUGAAUGUCAAGUUCACAUGCAGCUCAUGGCCUUUGUAUACAGGCCUCUUCCUAAAAUGCCCUUCUCUAGAUCUUGAGGUUCUCCAGCCAUACCAUUCUGGCUCCUCAUGGAGAGAUUUUUGGCACAAACCAGUGUUUCCACCUACAUAUCUAGUUGCAGUUAAUGGCACCCAAUUGCCUAAUAAAAAUGUAGGGAAGGGAAAGGAAGGGUAGGGAAGUGAAGGGGAGAGAAGGGGAGAGGGAGAAAGGAAAGAAAAGAAAAGAAAGGAGGGAAAUCUUUAGAGCUAUGGCACAGGGCUCUACUUUUUAACCCAGCUCUCUUUAACAAUUUGGGUAAAUAUAUAGCAGAGAUAAUAUUCAAAAGUUGUGGAUUGGCCAGGUGAAAGCUGUAAUUCCAGCACUUUGGGAGGCUGAGGUUGGUGUAUUGUUUGAGGUCAGGAGUUCAAGACCAGCCUGGGCAACAUGAUGAGACCCCAUCUCUACCAAAAAAUACAAAUAUUUUCUGAGUGUGGUAACAGGCACCUGUAGUCUCACCUGGUCUGGGGGCAGAGGUAGGAGGAUUAUUUGAACCCAGAAGGCAGAGGUUGCACUGGGUUGGGAUUGAGCCAUUGCACUCCAGCCUGGGUGAAAGAAUGAGACCUUGUCUCAAAAAAAAUUGUGGAUAACAAUUCAAAAUUGAGAACAACGUUGAUUUUUGUUUUACUUUUUUUAGACACAGGGUCUCACUCAGUCACCCAGGGUAGAGUGUGGUGAUAUGACCAUACCUCACCAUAGCCUCAACCUCCUAGGCUCAAGGAAUCCUCCCACCUUAGUCUCCUGAGUAGCGAGGACUACAGGCACAUGCCACCAUGCCAGGCUAAUUUUGUUUUCUUUUCUGCAGAGACAGGCCUUGCUAUAAGCUUGUCUUGAAUUCUUGGUCUCGAGUUUUCCUCCUGUCUCAGCCUCCCAAAGUGCUGGGAUUACAGGUGUGAGCUACCACAUCUAGCCAACAUGUUGCUUAUAAUGGACAACUGAAAGAAGUUUUUUUUUUUUUUUUUUUCGAGGCAGAGUCUCACCCUGUCACCCAGGCUGAAGUGUGGAGGCACGAUCUCAGCUCACUGCAACCUCUGCCUCCCAGGUUCAAGUGGUUCUCCUGCCUUAGCCUCCUGACUAGCUGUGACUACAGGUGUGUGCCACCAUGCCUGGCUAAUUUUUGUAUUUUUAAUAGAGUCAAGGUUUUACUGUGUUGGCCAGGUUGAUAUUGAACUCCUGACCUCAGGUGAUCUACCCGCCUUGGCCUCCCAGAGUGCUGGGAUUACAGGCAUGAGCCACUAGUGCCCAGCCCUGAAAUAAUAUUUCAAAUGAUCAGUCUGCUGCUGAUUGAUUAUGCAUAUUAGCAAUUUGACUCAGUUUUAACAUUUUGCAGUUAAAGUCCAUCAACGUUACUUAUACAACACUCACAUUUCUAAUUCAACUUAGGAGUUGAAUUGCUUUGUCAUUGGGUAGGUCUGUUCAGCUUUGGUUGGUACUGCCAAACAGUUUUCCAAAGUGGCUGUCAACUUACACUCCCAACAGUGAAUGAAAUUUUCAGCUGUUCCAAAUUCUCAUUGGCCCCUCAAUUUUGCUAGUCUUUUAAUUUUAGCCUUCCUUAGACAUUUGUAGUAGUAUCUAAUUGUAGUUUUAAUUUGCAUUUCCCUGGUGACUAAUGAGGUUGAGUGCCUUUUCAUAUUUUUAAGGGUUGUUUCUUCUUAUAUGAAAUACCUGUUGCCUGGCACAAUGGCUCACACCCGUAAUCCCAGCACUUGGGGAGGCGGUGGGCAGGAUCACUUGAGUCCAGGAGUUCAAGACCAGCCUGGGCAACAUUAGGGAGAUCCCAUCUCUACAAAUAAUACAAAAAUUAGCUGGGCAUGGUGGCGUGGGCCUGUGAUCCCAGCUAUUUGGGAGGCUGAGGUGGGAGGAUCACCUGAGCCCAAGAAAUUGAGGCUGCAAUGAGCCAUGAUUCCACCACUGCACUCCAGCCUGGGUGACAGAUGUACCCUAUGACAAAGCAAUUCAACUCCUAGGUCUAUACCUCUUAGAAAGGUGAAAAUGUGAAAAGGCACUCGACCUCAUUGGUCUAAAAAAAAGUAUCUGUUCAAUGAUCUAAUGUUUUAUUGAGUUGCUUAUUUUUUUAUUGAUUUGUAAAAAUCUUUAUAUAGUCUACAUAUAUAUUCUUUAUCAGAUAUACACUUUGCACCAGAAUAUUUGUAGCACUACUAUUAGUAAUAGUAAAAACUGGAAACAACUCAUUUGUCCAGCAGUGGAGGAAUGGAUACAUAGUGAUAUAUUCUUUCCUUUUUUUUUUCUGAGACAGAGUCUUGCUCCAUCGCCAGGCUGGAGUGCAGUAGGGUGAUCCUGGAUCCCGGCUCACUGCAACUUGUGUUUUCCGGUUUCAAGCAAUUCUCCUGCCUCAGCCUCCCGAGUGGCUGGGACUACAGGCACGCACCACCACACUCGGCUAAUUUUUUGUACUUUUAGUAGAGACGAGGUUUCACCAUGUUGGCCAGGAUGGUCUCAAUUUCUUGACCUCGUGAUCUGCCCACCUCAGCCUCCCAAAGUGCCGGGAUUACAGGCGUGGGCCACCGCGUCCGGCAUAGUGACAUAUUCUUAAACAAUGGAACUCUAAAUUAUUGCUAUACAAUACUAAGCUUCUGCUGGGAAUCUCACAGAUGUAAUGAUGAGUUGAAGAAGGACAAGAGAUCCAGAACCACCAUAUGUCAAUACAAGCUAUAACACAGGCAGGCCAAGUGAGUGGGGCACCUCCAACAGCAGGCCUGGGGCCCAGCAAGGCCCAGGCUGAGAGUGGAGGUGGGGGUGUCACUGGCCAUGGAGCUCCUUGGAUGGCAAAGUGGCCAAGGAAAACCCUGCAUCAUAUCUGGGGAAUCAUCUGAGAUUUGUCAGACAGAUCAGCAGGAAGAAGACACGAAAGAAAAAUGGCAUGGACCUUCAUGUCCUUCAGAGUGACGGUGGGCUUGGGCCUUGCAAUGAGAACAAGUAUCACCCAGGAUGGAGAUCGGCCAGGGGCGGGGGUCAUGGGUGGGCUACAGGUACCUCCUACCACUGACAACAAGGAGGCAGAAUUUCCUUGGUCUAGACUAGAGUCUGGGUCAUGGGCAUGGCCGUGCUUGAGCUUCUGACCAGAAGCAGGUGGACAUGGAUUUGAGCUUCGUGUAAGAAUGGAGACUCCCCUCCAGGGACCAUAGGGGCUGGCAGCUGAAGAAGGUGACCUGGCCCCCGUCUAGAAGGUGAACACAGGGUAAACCCAAGCCCAUGAAGUGGAUGCAGCUGGGAAAAUCUGCCUGGUGCUUUCAAACCUCAACAUCAAACACUGCUCACACCUCAAACACUGCUCACACCAUGGUAAAAUCUAGUUGCAAAAUCUGUCCUGCAGCAGUUUUCUUUCCAGACGCUCAGGCCUCUCCUGGCAGCAGGCAGCUCUCCCCACCCACCCCCUCCACUCGUGCCCCUCCUACAGCCCAAGGCAACUCCCAGCAACCUUUGUGAACCAAGCCCAUCUUGCCGCCCAGGCUCCGGAGCUGUUUGCAUGUUGUGCAGAUGCAGCCUUCAGCCUUGGAUACCCACCCACUCCUCUGCUUGGGAGUUGUUUUCACAGGCUGCUCUUCCUGUAGCUUCAGAGAAGUAGGUCAAGUAGGUUAAAUUGCUUUGAAGGAGAAGUGCCAGGGGUUCAAGUCAUCCAGCCUGGAGGCAGGAAUCCUGGGUUCUAUUUCUGGCUUCACAGCUAAUCAGCUGUGUGACAGGCGUUAGGGGCUCAUUCUCCCAUCUGGGUCUCCCUGGGUCCUUCUCUAGGUCCCACAAUUUUUUUAUUUUCUUGAAGCUAUAUUCCCUGGGACUGUCUUCUUCCUCCCUCUUCCCUCCCUCUGGGAGGUGCUUUAAAGAUGUUGGCUGCUCAAGGCUGGCAUCCUGGGCAAGAGGGGCUGCAGUUGUUGUAGCCGAUGAGGACUACAACAACUGCAGCUUUUGUGUAGACACGGUAGAGCUUAUGGGGCCAUGUGAGGCUGGAGUGUCAGGAAGUCAGACUCCUGUAACUACAGGACAGGCCCUGGUGAUGUGAUGACGGGGAUGCUGAAGCCCAGAAUUUGAGUUCGGGCUCCUGGGUUUUAUGCAAUGGCUGGAGAUUCCCUCCCACUUCUAAGCCUCUCUUUCUGUGUCAUGCAGGGAAAUUCAGUCUCUGGUUCAUAUAGAAACUUGGGACCUCACUGUGCUGCUUGCUCAUGGCAGAAGAUAUCAUUUGAGCUGUCACAGCAGAGGACCAAGGUGCAUUUUGGCCAAAGAAUAAUAACCUUUCUAAGGCUUAGUUCCUCUGGCCUGACCAAACCAGUCCUAGGAGGCCCCUGGGCUCCAGUCAAGGUCACAGGAGAGGCCCUACAUGGAUGAGGCCUGGGGGAGCAGGGUGGAAAUUAAGUGCCCAGGUUGGUGUAGAUAGCCUCAAUCCCUCUCCAAUCCCCACCCUCCAAACCCAGUCAUGGGGGACGUGAAACAGGUGAGGCAGAGAAGCAAAUGUAGGUCAAGGGCAGGAAGGAACGUGAAGCUUUAGGCUGCCGGGAACUCCGAACUGCACUCAACUCACAGCACAGCUGUGGAUGUGCACAUCACAUGUGCGCCGCCAGACAGCAUGGCGUGAUGGAAAGGAAAUGGGUUUUGGAUGGCGUGUUCUGGGUUUGAAUCUCUGCCUGCCCAUGUACUAGAGAGUAGUCUAACCGCUCUGGGCCUCGGUUUCCCAGCUGGGAAAUGGGAAUAAUAGUGCUUAUCUUGCACGGUUGCUGAGAGUGUUCCAUGAGAUGAGACAACCCGAGUAAAGUAACUGGCAUAGACCUAUCACAUUUGGGGCACUCAGUAAAUGCGACGUCCUUUCUACUUGCCUUCCUGUCAUACCUUUCACCAUGUUUUGAAUUUCUGCAGCUAAAGAUAGGAACCCCAAUUCUCACUUUGCCUCCUUUUUGUAAUUCACCUACAUGCCUGACUUCUGCUCAGUGCCUCUUCAGAGACUCACUAUUCUGGAGAGUGGGAACCUAGAGUUCUGCCCUUCUGGUUUGUUUUGUUUUGUUUUUUUUGCUUUGUUUUUUUGAGGUGGAGUUUGGCUCUUGUUGCCCAGGCUGUAGUGCAGUGGUGUGAUCUCGGCUCACCACAACCUCUGUCUCCUGGGUUGAAGCGAUUUUCCUAACUCGGCUUUCUGAGUAGCUGAGAUUACAGACGUGCACCACCACACCCAGCUAGUUUUUCGUAUUUUUAAUAAAACAGGGUUUCUCCAUGUUGGUCAGGCUGGUCUCAAACUCAUGACCUCAGGUGAUCCACCCACCUCGUCCUCCCAA